GAUGAACGCUGGCGGCGUGCCUAAUACAUGCAAGUCGAGCGAACGGACGAGAAGCUUGCUUCUCUGAUGUUAGCGGCGGACGGGUGAGUAACACGUGGAUAACCUACCUAUAAGACUGGGAUAACUUCGGGAAACCGGAGCUAAUACCGGAUAAUAUUUUGAACCGCAUGGUUCAAAAGUAAAAGACGGUCUUGCUGUCACUUAUAGAUGGAUCCGCGCUGCAUUAGCUAGUUGGUAAGGUAACGGCUUACCAAGGCAACGAUGCAUAGCCGACCUGAGAGGGUGAUCGGCCACACUGGAACUGAGACACGGUCCAGACUCCUACGGGAGGCAGCAGUAGGGAAUCUUCCGCAAUGGGCGAAAGCCUGACGGAGCAACGCCGCGUGAGUGAUGAAGGUCUUCGGAUCGUAAAACUCUGUUAUUAGGGAAGAACAUAUGUGUAAGUAACUGUGCACAUCUUGACGGUACCUAAUCAGAAACCCACGGCUAACUACGUG
rnacentral:rRNA from 1 species